UGGUCAUGUAAUGGAGCAAAGAAAAUAAUCCAAUUUUGAGGCCCAAAGGAUGUUCUCCUUGCUAUCUAGAGUUUCACUGAACAUGAUGCCUUUAGACAUCAGAGAACCACAAUU